rnacentral:lncRNA from 1 species
GGGUUUCUGGCAAUAUUCUCCGGCGCCGCCAUUCCGACGAUCUAAUUCCGACCUCCACUGUUGCCGGGACAACAUCUUCUUCCUCCGCUUUUUCCACCAUCACCGUGUUCUACCAUCAAUAGACCACUUCCCCGUCGCCUCAUUCACUUUGAACAUCACCGCCGUGCAUCAACCACCUCCGGCCACUAACACCGAAAACCACAACCAUCACACAACCUCUGCCGUCCUCUACAAACACCACCACACCACUGAACCUCCGUAUAACUGUCUCCUACUACACCCACCGGAGAACACCCACGACCACCGCACCUUAAACACCAAACGACUCCCUCCGCCGUUCACCUUUCCAAACACCAUCCAGAGACCCUCUCGUUCCACUCAGUCGUACCAUAACUCCCCGUACUCUACCUUUCAACCACCACUUCAACCACCGUUAAUCUCCAUCCGCUCGCUACCACACUUCCCACCAUCAGCAUCAUCACUCACAACCGUAAUAAAUUGUUCAAACACCACCACUUCACCGUAAACCACCGGUCACCGCCUGUCGCCGCCGUCCCCUCGCUCCGGUUACCACCACCGCACUUCACCGUCGUUCCCCCUUAACCACCGUACCAUCAUCAUCUUACACCUCCACCAUCAAACUGCGAACAACCACCCAACGGUCGACAUUCACCACCGUUGCUGCUGUUGUUGUCUUAGAAAAGGAGUAGAAGAAAACAUCGUAGAGAAAGAAAUUUGUUGAUGAUCUAGUGUUGUUGAGAGUAAAUUGAAAGAAGAGAGAGAGAGGCAUAGAGAGGUGGCGGCUGAAUUUUUAAUUUUUAAGAUUAGGGUUUGUAUGUUCAAAGGCAAUCCUCAUUUUGUUUAACCUAAAAGUUAAUUGGGCUAAAUUUAGAAUAUAACAUUGGUGGGCCAUAGAUAAAAGUUCAACACUAUAAAAGCAAACAAAUUUUUUUUUUAUAUUAUCGUGUAAAUAGUGUCAAAAGAAAUAGCAGGUCUUGGUAAAUGAUAACUUUGAUAUGUUGAGCAAGGCAUAUUUUGAAAAGUGAACUUAACAUUUAAAAUUAAACUCCACUAUAUUUGUUGAGCUGAAUAUAAAAUUCGUUGAUUUCUAACAUAAAUGACAAAAGUUUUUGAAGCUAGCUUUUAAUACAAUUUUGGGAACCAAUUUUU